rnacentral:misc_RNA from 1 species
AAGUCGUAACAAGGUUUCCGUAGGUGAACCUGCGGAAGGAUCAUUAGUAGUGUUGGAGGGGGGGGUGGAUGGGUGUGUUGGUGUUGGUGUUGGGUGUGGUGUUGGAUGAUUGUGAGGCGUGAGCCGAGCGGUGGCCAGUGCCUAUUCCCAUGCCAUCCAUGCCAUCUAUUCCUGUCCCAUUGACAGACGCCCGCAAGGGUGGCUGUAGACAAGUGUGACUGUAGACAUGUAUGUAAGCAAAAACAACUUUUAACAAUGGAUCUCUUGGCUCCU